rnacentral:lncRNA from 1 species
CCAUGGGGCUGGAUAUACAAACCUGUGAAUCUCCUGCAUGAAGAAGCAGAAGCAAAUGAUUAUGUGUCAGAGCUGAUUAGAGAGAGUGGAGGGGGAGGGUCUAGAACAAAGCCUCACAGAACACCUACAGUUGGGACCAUGAUAGUUGGAUUAUGAGCCAGCAAAGAAGACAGAAGUUAGACAGCUAGGAGAACCAAGGGGCAGUAGCAUGUGUGUCUCUGGAGGGCCCAGUUGAAGCAAGAUGAUAUGAAUUUGCAUGUUCACGGUUAAUAUGAUCGUGGGACUUCCUCCAAAGGUGUUGACCAGCAGAUUUCUUGAAGAUGAAGAUGAAGCCUGUCCAACCACUUUCAUAUACAGGCAUACUUCAGAGAUAUUGACGGUUCAGUUUCAGAUACCUGAAAAUGGCAAACAUUGCAGUAAAAUUGGAUCAAUGAAGGCUGAGAGAUAGUGAAGAAUCUAGAAUGAAUCUUGCCAGCAUGAGGGACUUGGAGGAUGAUGCUGCCCAAUAAAAGAAGAGAUAAGGUAAAGAAUAACAAUUAAGAAAAAAAAUGCUACAUAAUUGGCCACACAUGACAAUGAAUAUGACAUUCUAUCCUAGUCAUCGCUUGCCUUUCUUUUUGAGGGAGAUGAGAAAAUUAAAAUUUAGAAGAGUCAAGUGACUUGUCUCAAGGAACAUUACUAAUGUGACACAUCUUGUACUGGGACCCAUCCACUUAAUCUAUGAUCUAUUAAUUUAGCACUAGAACACCACAGAUUUAGUGCCUUAAGAAAAAAAAUCUUUGACAGUUUUAGAGUUGGAAGACACUCAAGGAUCAGUUAAUACACAUUCCCCAUUUUACAAGUGAGGAAAGAGUUUGAGGGAGACACUAGUGUAGUGAGAAAAGUACUUUGGAAUGAGAGAACUGGGGUUUGGGUUC